GUUAAACAGGAGACAUGAAGAGUUCUUGAUGCUUUUGGUUUGCCUCAUCCAUUAUGUCGGAAAAGAACAGGAGUGGGGAAUGCGCUGUUGACUGCAUGGCCAACUGGAGCACCCACAAGGCUCUUGUGAAGGAAGUCAACAAGCUCUUGUGCUUCAGAUGACAUGCUGUCCAUGCAUCUCAAAUUGAGAAGGAUGGAUGGAAAGAACUCUUUGACCAACCCCCAACUGAGAGAGCUGAGGUGGCUAUCAUUUGGAGACACCCCCCGACUGCUAGUGCUGCUGAAACAGGUGGAGGCAACAAUGAAGCGGCAACAGAAAGAGAAGGCAGGUGGCAAAGGUUGCUGCUGUUGAAAAAUACUUUGAGAGUGAGUGUGUGUGUGUGUGUGUGCGCGUGUGCGUGUCUGUAGCUGAGUAGGUCAUGGUACAUGGUACAAAAAUACAGAAUUUAAAGCACUAACACUACACUUAACUCACAACCCACAACUACUGACAAUGGAAUAACUCUUUUAGAGAAAAGUGUGUGUAUGUGAGUGAGGGAGAGAGACAGAAUAUUUCUGUAAAUGUUUAACUAUGUUAAUUUAGAAUAAUUU